rnacentral:rRNA from 1 species
AACGCUAGCUACAGGCUUAACACAUGCAAGUCGAGGGGAAACGAUAUUGGAAGCUUGCUUCCGAUAGGCGUCGACCGGCGCACGGGUGAGUAACGCGUAUCCAACCUGCCCACCACUUGGGGAUAACCUUGCGAAAGUAAGACUAAUACCCAAUGAUAUCUCAAGAAGACAUCUGAAUGAGAUUAAAGAUUUAUCGGUGAUGGAUGGGGAUGCGUCUGAUUAGCUUGUUGGCGGGGUAACGGCCCACCAAGGCUACGAUCAGUAGGGGUUCUGAGAGGAAGGUCCCCCACAUUGGAACUGAGACACGGUCCAAACUCCUACGGGAGGCAGCAGUGAGGAAUAUUGGUCAAUGGGCGAGAGCCUGAACCAGCCAAGUAGCGUGCAGGAUGACGGCCCUAUGGGUUGUAAACUGCUUUUAUAAGGGAAUAAAGUGAGUCUCGUGAGACUUUUUGCAUGUACCUUAUGAAUAAGGACCGGCUAAUUCCGUGCCAGCAGCCGCGGUAAUACGGAAGGUCCGGGCGUUAUCCGGAUUUAUUGGGUUUAAAGGGAGCGUAGGCCGGAGAUUAAGCGUGUUGUGAAAUGUAGAUGCUCAACAUCUGCACUGCAGCGCGAACUGGUUUCCUUGAGUACGCACAAAGUGGGCGGGAUUCGUGGUGUAGCGGUGAAAUGCUUAGAUAUCACGAAGAACUCCGAUUG